rnacentral:tRNA from 1 species
AGUUAAUGAACUUGAUAUAAGUAUAUAUUUUGAAAAUAUAAAAAAGGGAUAAAUUUCCCUAUUAACUU